rnacentral:rRNA from 1 species
GACGAACGCUGGCGGCGUGCCUAACACAUGCCAGUCGAACGGAAAGGCCCUGCUUUUGUGGGAUGCUCGUGUGCCGCACGCGUGAGUAUCACGUGAGUAACCUGCCCUUGACUUUGGGGUAACUUCAUUAAACUGGGGUUAAUAUACGACAUGAGCUCCUUCUGCAUGGUGGGGGUUGGAAAGUUUCGGCGUUUGGGGAUGGACGCGCGGCUAAUCAUCUUGUUGGUUGGGUGGUUGGUUACCAAGGCGUUGACGGGUUGCCAGCCUGAGAGGGUGACAGGCCACAUUGGGACUGAGAUAGGGCCAAGACGGCAACGGGGGGCAGCAGUGGGAAAUAUUGCAAAAUGGGCGGAAGCCUGAUGCAGCAACGCCGCGUGCGGGAUGACGGCCUGCGGGGUGUAAACCGCUUUAGCCUGUGACGAAGCGUGAGUGACGGUAAUGGGUAAAGAAGCACCGGCUAACUACGUG